UACGUAGGGCGCAAGCGUUGUCCGGAAUUAUUGGGCGUAAAGAGCUCGUAGGCGGUCUGUUACGUCCGCUGUGAAAACCCAGGGCUUAACCCUGGGCUUGCAGUGGAUACGGGCAGACUAGAGGCAGGUAGGGGAGAAUGGAAUUCCCGGUGUAGCGGUGAAAUGCGCAGAUAUCGGGAGGAACACCUAUGGCGAAGGCAGCUCGCUGGGACGUUACUGACGCUGAGACGCGAAAGCGUGGGGAGCAAACAGG
rnacentral:rRNA from 1 species